rnacentral:pre_miRNA from 1 species
CAUGCACCAGUGGGGUCCUUCGGCCUGGCCUACGCCCUCUUGCACUCCAGGACCCCUCAGGGGAUGUCGGAGAGCCAGUUUCGGCCCAAUCCCGUAGGCCAGGCCGAGGGACCCCACUGGUGCACA